rnacentral:rRNA from 1 species
GGCUAUGUUGGCCGGGCGACGGUUGUCCCGGUUUAAGCGUGUAGGCUGGUUUUCCAGGCAAAUCCGGAAAAUCAAGGCUGAGGCGUGAUGACGAGGCACUACGGUGCUGAAGCAACAAAUGCCCUGCUUCCAGGAAAAGCCUCUAAGCAUCAGGUAACAUCAAAUCGUACCCCAAACCGACACAGGUGGUCAGGUAGAGAAUACCAAGGCGCUUGAGAGAACUCGGGUGAAGGAACUAGGCAAAAUGGUGCCGUAACUUCGGGAGAAGGCACGCUGAUAUGUAGGUGAAGCGACUUGCUCGUGGAGCUGAAAUCAGUCGAAGA